UACGAAGGGGGCUAGCGUUGUUCGGAAUCACUGGGCGUAAAGGGCGCGUAGGCGGCCUGGCAAGUCGGGGGUGAAAGCCUGUGGCUCAACCACAGAAUGGCCUUCGAUACUGCCGGGCUUGAGACCGGAAGAGGUCAGUGGAACUGCGAGUGUAGAGGUGAAAUUCGUAGAUAUUCGCAAGAACACCAGUGGCGAAGGCGGCUGACUGGUCCGGUUCUGACGCUGAGGCGCGAAAGCGUGGGGAGCAAACAGGAUUAGAAACCCCGGUAGUCC
rnacentral:rRNA from 1 species